CCUACGGGUGGCAGCAGUGGGGAAUAUUGGGCAAUGGGCGCAAGCCUGACCCAGCAACGCCGCGUGCAGGAUGACGGCCCUCGGGUUGUAAACUUCUUUUAACAGGGACGAAAAAAGUGACGCUACCUGUUGAAUAAGCCACGGCUAACUACGUGCCCGCACCCGCGGUAAUACGUAGGUGGCAAGCGUUCUCCGGAUUUACUGGGUGUAAAGGGCGGGUAGGCGGGAGGGCAAGUCAGACGUGAAAUUCCAGGGCUCAACCCUGGAACUGGGGUGGCAACUGUUCUUCUUGAGUGAGGGGGAGGCAGGCGGAAUUCGGUGUGUAGCGGUGAAAUGCGUAGAUAUAAGGAGGAACACCAGUGGCGAAGGCGGCCUGCGGGACAGUAACUGACGCUGAGGCGCGAAAGCGUGGGGAGCAAACAGGAUUAGAUACCCUUGUAGUC
rnacentral:rRNA from 1 species